GGUUAUUAAUCUGCUGAAGUCUCGAAAUACUACCCGAAGGGAAAUUCUCUUGAUGUUUCCUACCAUAGGCAUUUCAUUUCGAGUGCUUGCCAACACUGAGUUAUUAAAUGUCAUGCCAAUUAUUGCAAACCAUUCUUUGAAAGGUAAGAUAAAUGGACUUCUCGGAGACUUUGAUGAGAACCCGUCCAACGACUUGAUUUUACCAAAUGGAACGGUCUUGGAGACAAAUACAACGGAAGAAAAUAUUUUUUCAUCUUUCAAUAAUGCAUUUCUUCAGGACAAGAGGCUAAAGAAAUGUGUGGAAUCAACACAGACUGCUUGUUUGACUUUUAUGUAACUG